AGUUCGCAUCGAAGAUCAUGAGACUCGCUACUCUAACCGCCUUGAUUGUGGUCUACGUUGCUUUGAGCUUAGUAACUGCAAUUAUUGAUGUGCCUGUGCCCACCAUUUAUGAUAACGGCACAGCUAUGUGCUUGUACUUCAACGAGACAAUUGAAGCAAACGUUACACUAUCUUCGGCCACGCCUUGCGAGAGAUUAGUGUGCAAUUCAGAUGCUAAUAAUGUGAGAGUUUGGGGGUGCCCGCCACCAGCCAAUGUGUGGGAUUAUAUCGUUGGACCAUAUGACACAUAUCCGAAGUGUUGCUAUAAGAAAGGCUCGCUGAAACCUUGAAUUAGAUACCUGAAUAAAGAUAUUU